UUCAGGAAUGGUGAGAAACUGUCAUUAAGCAAGAGGAUGAAUUUGGAAAUUGCAGAACCAAUAAUUGCAGUCCAUGCCCAUGUGUCCAUUUGCAAAACAUUUUAGACUUUGCCUAUGUCCUAUUAAUAUUUUUGUUUUUUAAGGAAGAUUUUUGAAUUUCAUUAUUUAUGGACCAGCUUUAUUUAUUGAGAUCAGUGAUAAGAUUGGAGCAUGUGAUAAUUUUAGUUUGGCAAUCCUCAUAUCCUAUCAAUUACAUCAAUCUGUCAAUGGUCCACCAUGUGGCUCCAAUAAGUUGGUUUAUUGGAUUUCAUUUUCAACCAAGAUGUUAAGGAAGGAGGUACUUGAGCACUUUGGAUUUUG
rnacentral:misc_RNA from 1 species